CAACAUCACUGACAGGAUAUAGAAUACACCACCUGGACAACAUCACUGACAGGAUAUAGAAUACAACCAGGUGGACAACAUCACUGACAGGAUAUAGAAUACACCACCUGGACAACAUCACUGACAGGAUAUAGAAUACACCCACCUGGACAACAUCACUGACAGGAUAUAGAAUACACCACCUGGACAACAUCACUGACAGGAUAUAGAAUACACCCACCUGGACAACAUCACUGACAGGAUAUAGAAUACAACCAGGUGGACAACAUCACUGACAGGAUAUAGAAUACACCACCUGGACAACAUCACUGACAGGAUAUAGAAUACACCACCUGGACAACAUCACUGACAGGAUAUAGAAUACACCACCUGGACAACAUCACUGACAGGAUAUAGAAUACACCCACCUGGACAACAUCACUGACAGGAUAUAGAAUACACCACCUGGACAACAUCACUGACAGGAUAUAGAAUACACCACCUGGACAACAUCACUGACAGGAUAUAGAAUACACCACCUGGACAACAUCACUGACAGGAUAUAGAAUACACCCACCUGGACAACAUCACUGACAGGAUAUAGAAUACACCACCUGGACAACAUCACUGACAGGAUAUAGAAUACACCCACCUGGACAACAUCACUGACAGGAUAUAGAAUACACCCACCUGGACAACAUCACUGACAGGAUAUAGAAUACACCACCUGGACAACAUCACUGACAGGAUAUAGAAUACACCACCUGGACAACAUCACUGACAGGAUAUAGAAUACACCACCUGGACAACAUCACUGACAGGAUAUAGAAUACAACCAGGUGGACAACAUCACUGACAGGAUAUAGAAUACACCACCUGGACAACAUCACUGACAGGAUAUAGAAUACACCACCUGGACAACAUCACUGACAGGAUAUAGAAUACAACCAGGUGGACAACAUCACUGACAGGAUGUAGAAUACACCACCUGGACAACAUCACUGACAGGAUAUAGAAUACACCACCUGGACAACAUCACUGACAGGAUAUAGAAUACACCACCUGGACAACAUCACUGACAGGAUAUAGAAUACACCACCUGGACAACAUCACUGACAGGAUAUAGAAUACAACCAGGUGGACAACAUCACUGACAGGAUAUAGAAUACACCACCUGGACAACAUCACUGACAGGAUAUAGAAUACACCACCUGGACAACAUCAUUGACAGGAUAUAGAAUACACCCACCUGGACAACAUCACUGACAGGAUAUAGAAUACACCACCUGGACAACAUCACUGACAGGAUAUAGAAUACAACCAGGUGGACAACAUCACUGACAGGAUGUAGAAUACACCACCUGGACAACAUCACUGACAGGAUAUAGAAUACACCCACCUGGACAACAUCACUGACAGGAUGUAGAAUACACCACCUGGACAACAUCACUGACAGGAUAUAGAAUACAACCAGGUGGACAACAUCACUGACAGGAUAUAGAAUACAACCAGGUGGACAACAUCACUGACAGGAUGUAGAAUACACCCACCUGGACAACAUCACUGACAGGAUGUAGAAUACACCACCUGGACAACAUCACUGACAGGAUAUAGAAUACAACCAGGUGGACAACAUCACUGACAGGAUAUAGAAUACACCACCUGGACAACAUCACUGACAGGAUAUAGAAUACACCCACCUGGACAACAUCACUGACAGGAUAUAGAAUACAACCAGGUGGACAACAUCACUGACAGGAUAUAGAAUACACCCACCUGGACAACAUCACUGACAGGAUAUAGAAUACACCACCUGGACAACAUCACUGACAGGAUAUAGAAUACAACCAGGUGGACAACAUCACUGACAGGAUAUAGAAUACACCCACCUGGACAACAUCACUGACAGGAUAUAGAAUACACCCACCUGGACAACAUCACUGACAGGAUAUAGAAUACACCCACCUGGACAACAUCACUGACAGGAUAUAGAAUACACCACCUGGACAACAUCACUGACAGGAUAUAGAAUACACCACCUGGACAACAUCACUGACAGGAUAUAGAAUACACCACCUGGACAACAUCACUGACAGGAUGUAGAAUACACCCACCUGGACAACAUCACUGACAGGAUGUAGAAUACACCCACCUGGACAACAUCACUGACAGGAUGUAGAAUACACCACCUGGACAACAUCACUGACAGGAUAUAGAAUACACCAGGUGGACAACAUCACUGACAGGAUAUAGAAUACACCCACCUGGACAACAUCACUGACAGGAUAUAGAAUACAACCAGGUGGACAACAUCACUGACAGGAUAUAGAAUACACCACCUGGACAACAUCACUGACAGGAUAUAGAAUACACCCACCUGGACAACAUCACUGACAGGAUGUAGAAUACACCACCUGGACAACAUCACUGACAGGAUAUAGAAUACAACCAGGUGGACAACAUCACUGACAGGAUAUAGAAUACAACCAGGUGGACAACAUCACUGACAGGAUGUAGAAUACACCCACCUGGACAACAUCACUGACAGGAUGUAGAAUACACCACCUGGACAACAUCACUGACAGGAUAUAGAAUACAACCAGGUGGACAACAUCACUGACAGGAUAUAGAAUACAACCAGGUGGACAACAUCACUGACAGGAUAUAGAAUACACCACCUGGACAACAUCACUGACAGGAUAUAGAAUACACCACCUGGACAACAUCACUGACAGGAUAUAGAAUACACCCACCUGGACAACAUCACUGACAGGAUAUAGAAUACACCACCUGGACAACAUCACUGACAGGAUAUAGAAUACAACCACCUGGACAACAUCACUGACAGGAUAUAGAAUACACCACCUGGACAACAUCACUGACAGGAUAUAGAAUACACCCACCUGGACAACAUCACUGACAGGAUAUAGAAUACACCCACCUGGACAACAUCACUGACAGGAUAUAGAAUACACCCACCUGGACAACAUCACUGACAGGAUAUAGAAUACACCCACCUGGACAACAUCACUGACAGGAUAUAGAAUACACCCACCUGGACAACAUCACUGACAGGAUAUAGAAUACACCCACCUGGACAACAUCACUGACAGGAUAUAGACAGAUUAAACCAGGUGGACAAUGUGUCUGAUAUGGACCGGACACAGCAGCACUGCUCUGAUGACCUGCAGAGAAGAGAGGACACAAACAGACAGAGGUACAGAAGACGUUACUUGAAUCACCUUCCAGAGACAUUACAUAACACAUGAAUAAUGUACAGAUAUGUGUAAAACCCACUGAUCGUGGUACCCCCCCCCCUUUUGAUUAAUGUAUUCAACAUGACCCCGGAGCAACAUACUCCUAAUGCUGAGAAACAGGUGUGUGAAAAUGACAGAUAAUGACAACAAUACGAGGAGGGAGGGGGGGGUUCUGUAUGUAGACGUUGAAUAAUGUAAUGUUCUGUAUAGAUAAUGCCAUCAAUAAGACGAGGUUCGGUAUGGUGACAUGGAAUAAUAUCGUGUUCUACACCAUAACAUAAUGUUGAAAACGUGGACAGCUCGUCAGGCAGAAAUAAAGACCGUAGUUUUCAUUCUGUGUCAACAAACUGUUCUAAAAAAAAAAAAGACUUAUCUGUUCUUCUCGGCUCUGUUGGCUGUUGGAGUUAUUACAUUGUUAAAUCUAUAUUUUUUUAAGGUAUUAUAUAUAUCUAUAUGUUUUAUAUGAAAAGGGAUUGGUUUGAAAACUGGAGAUUUUUAUUUGAUAGAUUUAUAACAUCGAUUAUUUUUAUUUUUUUAUGUUGAUAAAAUGUUUUGUCUUGAUGAGAACAUGGCAGGCAGGUAGAGGGUGACAAAAAAACAAAAUGGCUUCCUUUCAAAACAAUCAUUAUUCUGUGUUCACGUGCUAAUCGGAACUUGGAACUUUCCGACUUGCUAACUGGUCGUGGUUAUACACGUGUCGCGUUCAACCAGUUAGAAAGUCAGAAUUUCCUAGUUUCCGACUAGCAAGUGAACACGACUUUAAAGCCCCGUUUUCCGGCGCAGGGAUAUGACGUCAUCAGUAUGAAUCUGCUGCAGGUGUUUUGACGAAUGUUCAUAUGUCUUUUUUUUUUUUAUCAUUUAAAUGAUUGAUUGUUUAAAAAAAAAAAAAGUGUUUUUAUCAGAAUGCUGUAUCACUGUUUAUUGAUUGAAGGCAUCUACCUCAGUGUCCGCAUCACGUUUCAUUUUAAACAGCAGCUGUAACCGCUGGGUCGUGUUCAAAUGGAAGAAAACAGGGAGGUGACUACCUUUGAGUUGUCCAAUAAGAAACACUCAUUUUUGGGUUUUUUCCCCAUGGCAAAACGGUUUGGUACGGGCAGUACAGGUCACAAAUGGCGGGAACGGGAAAGAACGGGUCGGGGUCAUAACAUAGUGGAAACGCAAAUAUUCACUUCACUGUGCUGAGUCUCUUCACGCCAUCCCACACCCACUGACCCCAUCUCCCUCCCCAGCACUGAGCCAUCUCACUGACCCCAUCUCCCUCCCCAGCAUUGAGCCAUCUCACACCCACUGACCCCAUCUCCCUCCCCAGCACUGAGCCAUCUCACACCUACUGACCCCAUCUCCCUCCCCAGCACUGAGCCAUCUCACACCCACUGACCCCAUCUCCCUCCCCAGCACUGAGCCAUCUCACUGACCCCAUCUCCCUCCCCAGCACUGAGCCAUCUCACUGACCCCAUCUCCCUCCCCAGCACUGAGCCUCAGAGGGCUGGAACAGGCUAGCCAGGUCAGAGCGUAUUACCAGCUAACUGCUCAGCAGGCUGACCACAGGGGUCUAUGUCUCUCAGUGUGACCGAACUCUCCAGCACAACAGCCGCUAGGCUAGUUAGGAGAAACAAGCUUAAUUGAUACAGGAGGGAAUCAACAGGUUCAUUGAUUCUGACUGGAGAUGAGAUGCUUUUCUUAUGAUGUUUAAAUUCAUAUGAUUGUUGAGACAUUUCCUCUUUAAUUUGUGAUCUAUUUUUUGAUGAAUAAACAUUUUUAUUAUUAUCGAUUGUAUUUACUUGGCCACCGUGGCCUUUUUAUUGCCUUUAACAUCCCUUAUCUCACCUCAUUUGCUCACAUUGUAUAUAGACUUAUUUUUUCUACUGUAUUAUUGACUGUAUGUUUGUUUAUGUGUAACUCUGUGUUGUUGUAUGUGUCGAACUGCUUUGCUUUAUCUUGGCCAGGUCGCAAUUGUAAAUGAGAACGUGUUCUCAACUUGCCUACUUGGUUAUAUAUAAAGGUGAAAUAAAAAUAAAAUAAAUAAAUAGUU